rnacentral:rRNA from 1 species
AUUGAACGCUGGCGGCGGGCCUAACACAUGCAAGUCGAGCGGAUGAGAAAAGCUUGCUUUUUGAUUCAGCGGCGGACGGGUGAGUAAUGCCUAGGAAUCUGCCUGUUAGUGGGGGAUAACUCGGGGAAACUCGGGCUAAUACCGCAUACGUCCUACGGGAGAAAGUGGGGGAUCUUCGGACCUCACGCUAACAGAUGAGCCUAGGUCGGAUUAGCUAGUAGGUGAGGUAAUGGCUCACCUAGGCGACGAUCCGUAACUGGUCUGAGAGGAUGAUCAGUCACACUGGAACUGAGACACGGUCCAGACUCCUACGGGAGGCAGCAGUGGGGAAUAUUGGACAAUGGGCGAAAGCCUGAUUCAGCCAUGCCGCGUGUGUGAAGAAGGUCUUCGGAUUGUAAAGCACUUUAAGUUGGGAGGAAGGGUAUUCACCUAAUACGUGGGUACUUUGACGUUACCAACAGAAUAAGCACCGGCUAACUCUGUGCCAGCAGCCGCGGUAACAC